GACGAACGCUGGCGGCGCGCCUAACACAUGCAAGUCGAACGAGCGAGAGAGAGCUUGCUUUCUCGAGCGAGUGGCGAACGGGUGAGUAACGCGUGGGCAACCUGCCCUCUAGAUGGGGACAACAUCCCGAAAGGGGUGCUAAUACCGAAUGUGACAGCAAUCUCGCAUGAGGAUGCUGUGAAAGAUGGCCUCUAUUUAUAAGCUAUCGCUAGAGGAUGGGCCUGCGUCUGAUUAGCUAGUUGGUGGGGUAACGGCCUACCAAGGCGAUGAUCAGUAGCCGGUCUGAGAGGAUGAACGGCCACAUUGGGACUGAGACACGGCCCAG
rnacentral:rRNA from 1 species